AUCGAUACAACCUAUGCCUGAGAGGCUAGGGAGGGUUUUUAUUCUCAGAUCAAUAAAUUAUCCAAUAUUGAAAAGGAAACCAGUAUUAGCAUUUAUAGAUGUGUUGAUUUGGGGAAAACAGCUCCUCAUAUAGCAGCAGAGGAUGACUCCCUGAUAUCACAUUCAUCAGUUCCUCUCCCUGUGAAUGCUUUCAUCGACCGAUUGGAUGAUCUUUCCGUGGGAUAUUGCCCUCAUUAUAACUCAUCUUUGAAGUCAUCAUGAGAAAUUUUUUUUGGAUAGUAUAGAGAGAUAUUUGUUUGAUAAAAAGAUUUUGAUGUGGAGAUAGCAUUCCCUCUUGACCAUGGUCUUCCUAGGGGAUAUCAGAAGCAGAAGAGCAGGGAAUCUGAUAAGUCACACAUUAUGACUGUGCAAAUAUUGUUG